rnacentral:misc_RNA from 1 species
UGGUUCUGGCAUCGAUGAAGAACGCAGCAAAAUGCGAUAAGUAAUGUGAAUUGCAGAAUUCCGUGAAUCAUCAAAUCUUUGAACGCACAUUGCGCCUUCUGGUAAUCCGGGAGGCAUGCCUGUCUGAGCGUCAUUACACCAUUCAAACCUUUGCUUUUGUUAGCUACUGGUUUGGUUUUGGAAGUAGAUUGAGUCGAUUUCGAUGCGAUCUCUUCUGUAAUGUAUUGACGAGUGCCUACUGUCUUCUUAGUUGUAGCAAAGAAAAUCACUUCUCUCUCAACUUCAAGGUAGAUGGUUGGGUGUCCUACUUUUAAGUUCCUGCUCUUUUGGGGCGUGGAUUUUCCAAAGUUUGACCUCAGAUCAGGUAGGAAUACCCGCUGA